GCGGUACACGGGUGCCUGUGCCCUUCCUGUCCUGAGACCCACGAGCGCUUUCCUUGGUCUGAAGCACCUGCCUGGUUGGGACCGCUUGGGGGCGUGGCCGACGGCAGGUCUCUGCUGUACAGCGUUGUCGCUUAGCCACGCAGAGACCCUUUCGGAAUCUUGAUUCCCACUCGUAAACCUGCAGCUAGACAGAGACCCCCAAGAGAACUCGGUGACUGUCACCAAUGUCAGUUCAGAAUUCUGACUGGUCCCUCCAACAGGACAAUCCUAUCUUCAGGGAGCCAGAUCCACCAGUCAACACAGACAGUGAUUCAGGCCACCGGCCAGUACAGGGCUAUGGGGAUAUCUCUGUUCAGGUUGUAGGAGUCCCACUCUUUCUGAGACCAUGGUGGUCUCGUCCUCUGGCCCUCAUUCCCCUCCUGCCAAGUAGGAGGUAGUUUGCAUUUCUCUAUUAAAACAAAACCUUAGUCAGUCAGGUGUGACAGUGCACACCAUUAGUUCCAGAACUCAGUGAGUACAAGGCCAGCCUGGUCUAUAUAUGGAGUAUCAAGUUCCAGGCGGGAGAGACGUGCAUGUGUGUGUGCGUGUGCACAUGCAUGUGCGUGUGUGCGUGUGUGCACGUGUGUGUGAGUGUGUGUGCACCACCAUACAUGUGGA
rnacentral:lncRNA from 1 species